rnacentral:rRNA from 1 species
GGACUACCGGGGUAUCUAAUCCCGUUUGCUCCCCUGGCUUUCGCGCCUCAGCGUCAGUAGAGGGCCAGCGGACCGCUUUCGCCACCGGCGUUCCUUCCGAUAUCAACGCAUUUCACCGCUCCACCGGAAGUUCCGUCCGCCCCUACCUCCCUCGAGCUUCCCAGUAUCGGAGGCACUUUUCCGGUUGAGCCGAAAGAUUUCACCCCCGACUUGAGAAGCCGCCUACGCGCCCUUUAAGCCCAGUGAUUCCGAACAACGUUCGCACGGUUCGUCUUACCGCGGCUGCUGGCAC